GUAUUGUAUUGCGUUAAACGCGGCAUGCAUUCCAUAAGACUUUAUUACAGUGUGUGUGUGUAAAGACGUAGGACCACAGCAAGAGGAGAGUGUUCCCCCCAGGCCAUAGAACUACAGAGGGUGCACAGGUGUGAGUGGAUGUGUAAACAGAGCGUGCACGUGCCCCCAUUUGAGGGCCAGCAACAACUCAUGUCGACAAUUCGGUAAUGAUCCUUCCGCAGGUUCACCUACGGAAA
rnacentral:misc_RNA from 1 species